UAGCUAGGUCCCAACUUCCAAGUAGGCAGCAGCCCCGCCGCCCGGCUGCUAGCUGUCGCUCUCGCCACAGGACACGGCGGCGUGCCGGCGUCAACGGUGUCCCCGGCCACACACGGUCACGGAGAGCCGCCGCAGCAACGAGCUCGACAGGCAGCGCGUCUCUGCUCUAUGCAUGGCGCUGCCGCGGCUGAAAUGAGAUGUCUUCGCCUUGAUCGUCUCUCGCACACAUGCAUCUUGAUGCUUCUGGCCUCGCCGGCGAUGGGCUCCGGUGGCGACUGGCGAGGAUCCUCACGGCGGUGGGGCUCCGGUGAGAGAUCCGCCUCCACGAGAUAUAUGUUGCUGAUGAGGGAUGCCUGGGAUUGUCAAUUUGGUGGACAAGGACAUGACCUGGGCUGUCUGUCUAAUGCAGCUUGAAUUGAACUGAGCUGGUCUCCCAUCUGAAGAAGAACAUGCUCACCUACCAAAGAGUGGGCAGAGAAUUUUCAUCCUAUUGCCGCGAGCUACAGUUUAGGAUAUGAGAAAUUUUCGUUUUUUCCGAUUACCACCAGAAUUGAGUCUUUUCCUGUAAAAUUUCACUGCUGAACGCAGAGGCCUCUUGAUGAAUCAAACGCGAGCAACACUGAAGUAUUGAACAGUAUAAAAGUAACUCUUGAUGGACCCUUUGUUUUAAGAAGAAUCACCAUUU